GGUACCAUCUAAGUUUUAUACUCUAAGCAUAUAUCAAGGAAGAAUAAGUCUCGAAUGGAGUUCCCCAAGUUUUUGAUUGUUUUCAUUCUCUUAGUUGUUCCGUUUUCAACUGCAACAAAUCCUCUUGGUGAUGAUCCAGGUAAGGGAUAUUGCUUUAAGAAAUGCUAUUCCCAAUUUACAUCGGAGGAUUGCAAUUUCCUAUGCACCCAUGACAUGGGGUUUCAAUCUGGAGCAUGUGAAUUUGGUGUUUGUUGUUGUCGCCACCCGAAGCUAAUGUAUUAAAUCUGCAUAUUAAAAAAAUAUAAUAAAAUAUAUAUGUUUUUUAUGGUUGAA